UACAGAGGGGGCAAGCGUUGUCCGGAAUCAUUGGGCGUAAAGCGCGCGUAGGUGGCCCAGUAAGUCCGUUCUGAAAGUCACAGGCUCAACCUGUGAAAGCGGAUGGAUACUGCUGGGCUAGAGUCCGGAAGAGGCGAGUGGAAUUCCUGGUGUAGCGGUGGAAUGCGCAGAUAUCAGGAGGAACACCAACGGCGAAGGCAGCUCGCUGGGACGGUACUGACACUAAGGCGCGAAAGCGUGGGGAGCAAACAGG
rnacentral:rRNA from 1 species